rnacentral:tRNA from 1 species
GAGAAGUUAGUAAAUCCAUUACAUAGCCUUGUCAAGACUAAAUCACAGGUUAAAACCCUGUACAUCUCA